rnacentral:rRNA from 2 species
CUUGAAUAUCUAUAAGAGGUCCAGCCUGCCCAGUGACUUUGUUCAACGGCCGCGGUAUCCUAACCGUGCGAAGGUAGCGUAAUCACUUGUCUUUUAAAUGGGGACUUGUAUGAAUGGCAUCACGAGGGUUAUACUGUCUCCUUUUUCUAAUCAGUGAAACUAAUCUUCCCGUGAAGAAGCGGGAAUAAACAUAUAAGACGAGAAGACCCUAUGGAGCUUUAAACUCAAUAACAAAUACUAACCUUACAUCAACUUUCAGAAGAUCAACCUUAAUUUUAGUAUUAUGAUUGUUAGUUUUAGGUUGGGGUGACCGCGGAGUAAAAAUUAACCUCCACAUUGAACGGGACCUGUCCCUGAGCCAAGAACUACAGCUCGAAGCACCAACAAAUUGACAUUAAUUGACCCAAUAUUUUGAUCAACGAAC